GGGUCAGUAGGUUGGUCGUGCCACCGGUACGUACUGGUCUCACUGAUUCCUCCUUCCUGAAGAACCGUAAUGCCAUUAAUUUGGUGUUGCGGGGAAACAGGACUGUUACUUUGAAAAAAUUAGAGUGUUUAAAGCAAGCUAACGCUUGAAUACAUUAGCGUGGAAUAAUGAAGUAGGACGAUCGAUCCUAUUUUGUUGGUCUCUAGGAUUGACGUA
rnacentral:rRNA from 1 species